CGGACGGGUGAGUAACGCGUGGAAAACCUGCCGUAUACUGGGGGAUAACACUUAGAAAUAGGUGCUAAUACCGCAUAAGCGCACAGCUUCGCAUGAAGCGGUGUGAAAAACUCUGGUGGUAUACGAUGGUUCCGCGUCUGAUUGCUAGUUGGUGGGGUAAUGGCCUACCAAGGCAACGAUCAGUAGCCGGCCUGAGAGGGUGAACGGCCACAUUGGGACUGAGACACGGCCCAAACUCCUACGGAAGGCAGCAG
rnacentral:rRNA from 1 species